UUUAGUUUUAGAGUUUUGUUUAAGUAAUAACUUUCCAGCAGCCGCAUCUGUAGUCAUGCCAUCCGUUCCUGGCCUAUCUACUCGAAGCAAAUUGACCUCCUUGCUAGUUAAAGAUUUUUACAUUUUGUUUGAGUAUUAACCAAAUUGACCGUUAUGUCUUGCUAACAAAUCAACACAGCUAUUACACUCCUGAAUACGAAAUACCAGUCCCGAUUACAAAGUACUUUCAGCUGUCGCAGUUCCGCAAGACCACUGAUCACAGAAAUGCCGCGGCGAAUGGUCUCGACUGGUAGAGCGUUGUCAUUCUCCACUUCCACCUUUCUAUACCUCCUAUCGACCCUCCAGCGCUGAUCAAGCUUCCGCUUGAAACACCAAAGCAUCCCCAAACCAACCAUCAUCCGGCAGAAUCUCUCAACAGCCAACUCGGCCUGUUGUUUGUUCCUACCAUUGAUAUAAAAACGAGCCCAAGACACUCCUGUAUGUAAUAAUAUCGACCCAAUAUCACAAAGCACAAUCGAAUGUAUAAAUAUAUUUAUAUAGGGUGUUGUGAAAUUUAAAUCAAAG
rnacentral:lncRNA from 1 species